UUGCUACUCAACUGAACUUGUGACAAUUAUAUAUUAUUUGUAUCUUGCUCAUGCUUAUUUACAAAAGAUAGAUUCUUGCAAAAAUCAACCUAAGUUACUUUUCAAUCCCCGUGCUUCGACAUCCUUACAGUUUUAUCACUUUCUACUUAAAACAUACAUGUAUACUUGCAUGUGACACCACACAUUUCAAGCAACAAUGAUCUCUCAAUCCUCAAUAGAGCCCACUUCGAUAAGCCUUCGACUUGAUAAAAAAGUCAAGAUAUCUCUCAUUGGAAUUAUAACUAAAAUAUAAAACUAAA
rnacentral:lncRNA from 1 species